CAGGCACUCCAGGUCCGACCGGCGGGAGGCGCUGCGGGGCAGCCUCCUAGGAGGACGUGACUCAAGGGGCCGGUGGGUGGAGCUGGGAACCCAGGCUGGAGGAUAAGGGCUGAUGUCCGUCACUCACCCGGCUGAAGCCUCCGUCUCCGGCCAAGGCCCCUGGCCGGUCCCAGGCAGUUAGACCCACAGGUACGGGACCCAAGAUGAAGCAACGGGUUCAAGGUCACGUAAGAGUCUGUACCAAGAUGCAAACCCAACGUCGUGAUGCCAGGAUGGGUGUUCUUUCUGCCACACCAUUUAUUAUCAGCACUGCUGUUCCCACCUCGGGAGGUCUGGGGGGCUAGUCAAGGAUGGUUGGGGCCUCCCUUCUCCCCGCCAGAAGCGCUGAGGGUCAUGGUGAAAACUGAAUAAAGGAAUUCAAAGAAAGCUGGCAAACUGAAGAUCUUAAAUGACGUCUAUGAUGAGGAUGGUGGAAGGAGGAAGAGGAGGAAGAAUAACA